rnacentral:lncRNA from 1 species
AGUGAGGCUAGGGAUCAAACCCGCCACGUCAUAGUUCCUAGUCGAAUUUGUUUCCACUGUACCACGUUGGGAACUCCUGCAGUCAGGUUCUUAACUCACUGUGCCAUAGCAGGAACUCUAAUAGAGGCAGUUUAACUAUGUUGCCUCUACUUUUCUUUCUACAGGGAAACACAGGACAGAACUGAGGAUGCAUCAACCCUCAACAGCACAGGGUGAGCAACUUUGCUCUCCUCACCCAAUUGAGGAUUGAUGUUUGGCACCUGCUCUGGAGAAAGUGACCUGUGAAUGAGAGAAUGGAAGGAGCCCAAGUCUGGAGAUGAUGAUAAUAAUCCAGUGGCAAGAUGAUGAAGACUUGGCCUAUGACAGUAGCAAUGGAGAUGAACAGGAUGUACCUGAUUUGGACAGAGAGAACACUGAAAAUGUUUAGUAAUCCCAAGGAUGCAGUCUGUCUCCAACAUUCCACACUAUGUCCAGAUACUACAAGAAAAAUACGAAAAGAGCUUAAUCCAACGCCUUUAUCCCGAAGGAGCCGGCCUAAGGAGCCAAACUGCAGUUCUGAGAAGUAAAGAACUCUAUGUUCCUUUGCGAGAACACCGGCUGGCCUUAGUGUAGCCCAGGAGUGCUGGUGUGGGGGCUCUGCUAAUACAGAAGGUAACUGCAGGCUGGGAUAAAGGUAAUUGAAUGUUUCCAUUCUGAGAGUUAGAUGAAGGCUAUGGAGCCCCCUCUC